rnacentral:lncRNA from 1 species
AAGUGCAUCAGAAGCUUGUCAGUCAAGUAGCUUGUUCAUGCAAAGCGACGAUCCAGGGUUGUCAGCCAUGAAAGAGUCUAGGCUGAGUUAAAGAAGGGGAUAUGUCGAUAAGUCGGGUGGUCAAGAGGAUGAGCCAUGUUUGCCAGGUCGUGCAGCCAUGUUCCAAGAGAGUUGAAGUCGUAGACUAUAAACAUUGGGCUUGAUCAUGCUUAGGUCUUGCCAUGGAUGCAAUUAGGGCAUCAAGUUGAGUGUCCACCAAGAAGGUUGGACUUGAGCUUUGCCGAGGGCAUGUGAAGGGGUCCGUCUAAAAAAAGUCGAACUCAAGAUUGGAA